rnacentral:rRNA from 2 species
GGUUCCUUAGAUCAUAAAUACUACAUGGAUAACUGUAGUAAUUCUAGAGCUAAUACAUGCCACUAUGCCCUGACCCGCAAGGGAAUGGGUGGAUUUAUUAGAACAGAACCAACCAGAAAUAGUUUCGGCUAUUUCUGUUGUACUCUGUGAUGACUCUGGAUAACUUCACUGAUCGCAGUCGGCCUUGUGUCGGCGACGGAUCUUUCAAAUAUCUGCCCUAUCAACUGUCGAUGGUAGGUGACCUGCCUACCAUGGUGAUAACGGGUAACGGGGAAUCAGGGUUCGAUUCCGGAGAGGGAGCCUGAGAAACGGCUACCACUUCCAAGGAAGGCAGCAGGCGCGAAAAUUACCCACUCCCGGCACGGGGAGGUAGUGACGAAAAAUACGAAUACGGGACUCAAUUGAGGCUCCGUAAUUCGAAUGAGUACACUUUAAAUCCUUUAACGAGGACCAAUUGGAGGGCAAGUCUGGUGCCAGCAGCCGCGGUAACUCCAGCUCCAAAAGCGUAUAUUAAAGUUGCUGCAGUUAAAAAGCUCGUAGUUGGAUCUGGGUCGUGUGGUCACAUACCGUUGCUUGUUCUACUAUCUUGAUUAUAAUCGAGACAGUAGUACGGGUCGGUGUAGUGACCGUGCAACCUUUCAGUCGUGUCUGUGUAAACAGGUGUUGGUUUAGUUAAUAGGUUCGCCCUAUUAGCUUGCUAACAUGCUUCCGGAUGCCUUAAACGGG